UACGUAGGGUGCAAGCGUUAAUCGGAAUUACUGGGCGUAAAGCGUGCGCAGGCGGUUUUGUAAGUCUGUCGUGAAAUCCCCGGGCUUAACCUGGGAAUGGCAUUUGUGACUGGAAGGCUAGAGUGUGUCAGAGGGGGGUAGAAUUCCACGUGUAGCAGUGAAAUGCGUAGAGAUGUGGAGGAACACCGAUGGCGAAGGCAGCCCCCUGGGUCAAGAUUGACGCUCAUGCACGAAAGCGUGGGGAGCAAACAGG
rnacentral:rRNA from 1 species